rnacentral:lncRNA from 1 species
GGUCUUAGUCUCUGCUGGUCAACCAGAGGACGCUGGACUGUAUAGUACUUAGUAUCAGAGCUUUUGAGCUCCAUUUCGUUUCCUUCUGUUUCCAUUUCUGCUCACUGGUUCAAAGCAUCAGGCUGAAAUCUCUCAGUUGUUGGAAGGCAGUACAGCUGCCCAGGGAGACGGUGAACUAAGCAGUCAGAUAAACUGGAGUCACACCGAAGCUGGGCAAGGCUCUUAAACACCCGUAUCCUCAGUUUCGUCAUCUGCAAAAUGGGGUCAUGACACCACAGCAUCUGCCCAGAGCACAUACGCAACAAGUCUCCGUCACGAACGCAGAUGCAGAGAGAGUAGCUGACUUGCUGUAGUCUUCCAGCGAGAGCAAGUUGGAGCUGAGGUAGAAUGGCCGGGGGAGCCACAGUUUGGAAAGCCUUGGUACCAGGUCGAGGAGUCUCCAUUUUAUUGGGUGCACAGCCCACAUGCAUGAAAGAGGAAAUCAUAAAAUAUGGAAUGAACACCAGUGGUCGCUGGUAAAAAGCUACAAUCGGGAAGGCAAGGAAGACAACCUCACCUGAUGACUUUGGGCGAACUUCUGAACCUUGUUGACCAUUGACUCCUCUGUGUCAAAGGGAAGAGCUGGAUUCAGAGAUCUCUACAGCUCCUUCCUUCACUAUCCAGCUAUAAAUGCCCCUUUGAAAUUACUUUGGAGGAAGGAGAAUUCAUUUCAUUUCAUGCUUUCAUGGCUUUAUGCAUUCAUUCCACUGUCCUUUCCUUUAACAAAUACUUAUGCAUGUGCCACAUCCUGUGUAAACCAUGAAAGAUAAAUAAAUGUGUAAGACAAAGCUGCUGUGCUCA